GUGCCUGGGAGACCACUGACCUUUCUCGAUAUCAGGAUGAUCCAGUGGUCUCCACACGAGCGGUACUUUCUCAUCCCACUGGGUCAUCAGAGGAACUGCCAGGCAGUGUUCCUGAUCUGAGAGAAGAUGUCCAGUGGCGUAGACCAUAUAACAUCCAUAAUACACUCCUAGACCAGGAUAAAGAUAGAGAUGUAUGAUCGCAAUGAAGAGCAGACAUCAGGAGAUGAUUCAAGAACUGGAGGAGAACUUUCUCAUAGCAUCACGAGAGAAUCAGGAAAGCAGUGACCCAGAUGUACCACUAGAUAGAGCUCAAGCUCAGCUGGAGAUUUUGAAGGAUAACCUCUUGAAGAGGGAGCGAGAGAUCUCAAUGCUCAGGAAAGGACAAGAGCGUGUGUCAGCAUAUGCUCGCCUCCUCAGUGCUGUUAUUCAGCAGGCUCAUCAUGUUUAUGCUAAGCUAACAGAGGCUAAACAGCAGUUUGAACAAAUGGCAGAAUACAACCAAAAAAUUCUGGCAGAGUUUAAAGAAAGUCUUGACCAAACUGUGGAAGGGUCCAGGCAGAAGAGCCACGAGGAACAAGAGGAUGCACAGCAGAAAAUAGUGGAGCCACAGGUGGAGCCAAGUUCACAAGCCAGAUUACUCCAUCAUGAGGUCAUGCAGGUGGCUUUGGAGUGCAUCAGAGCAGGGGCUAAAUCCACUAUCAUUGACUGACACAACUGAGGCAUGGACAGCAGAGCUGAAUGAAAGAGUCAGAGAAUUCGAGAAGGAUUUCCAAAAAAAUGGAUUCUUAAAUUAUGAAACUGAUAAAAGUGUGGGGCAGCAGCUAUUGUUACUGCAAGCUGAGUGUGCGAUCGAUGGAUUUAACGUAUGCAUUUAUGUGUAUGGCCAUACGGGUUCAGCGAAAACCUUCACAAUGGUUGGAGACCGAGAUCGAAGCAACCCAAUCAUUCCAAGAACAUUCACCAAGAUCUCUGAGAUCAUCCAGGAUAAUGAGUCUAAAUUUGAGUUUAAGGUUUCAGCCUGCAUGCUGGAGCUGUACAAUGACCGCCUACAGGAUCUCUUUGUGAGCCCCGCUGAAGCUUUCAGCAAGCGAGUUGAAAUUGAGAGGGACAGAAAGGGGCUUGUGUUCGCCCAGGGAGCAGAAACAAAAGAGGACACCAGCGCUGGCGAACUCUUUGCAUUAUUUGAGUAGGGCUGUGCAAACCACCACAUUGCGGCCACAAAGAUGAAUGUAGAGAGCUCCCGCUCUCACCUAAUCAUUGGCAUCAUGUUUGAGAGCCGGAAUCUGACCAAUGGGAGCAUGAGUUUCAGGAAG
ensembl:lncRNA